CAGCAAGCCACUUUUGCGGUUCAAUUUUUGCUUUUAGAAAUCCUGUCAAUGUCUAUUUUAAAGCAUAUGUUUAGCGUUCAUUCAUGAUUGCUUUGGAAUCAAUCGGCGCACGUUAAUUGAACAUGGCGAAAUCUUGAAUUGAAUCAACUAUUCCCUUAUUUCCGGUGCAAUUGAAGGGCUGCAUGGACGUUCUCGAAGAAUCCAGAUUUGGCGUGAGAAACGAAUUUGAACAAGAAAUUGCGUGCAAGAAUUGUUGGGUCGGAGGCGUGACGAAUUAAAGAAAUUGAAUCGAGCUGUUGAUUUCAAUUCGUGGCUAUUUGAUGUUGGUGAGAGCAAACUGGUGAUAUGUGAAUUAAAGACAAGGCGAUCGAGAGAUUCAAGUACAAGAAGUUCUGUGGCAAAGCAAUGAAGCAUGAGGUGGCAUACAUUUCGAUCCAUUCAUGUUGCAUUUCGUAAAA
rnacentral:sRNA from 1 species